rnacentral:rRNA from 1 species
ACUCAAAUGAAUAGACGGGGGCCCGCACAAGCGGUGGAGCAUGUGGUUUAAUUCGAUGCAACGCGAAGAACCUUACCUACCCUUGACAUCCUAUGGAUCUGAUAGAGAUAUUGGAGAGCCGAAAGGAACAUAGAGACAGGUGCUGCAUGGCUGUCGUCAGCUCGUGUUGUGAGAUGUUGGGUUAAGUCCCGUAACGAGCGCAACCCUUAUACUUAGUUGCCAACAUGUCGUGGUGGGGACUCUAAGUAGACUGCUGGUGAAGAACCGGAGGAAGGCGGGGACGACGUCAAGUCAUCAUGGCCUUUAUGGGUAGGGCUACACACGUGCUACAAUGGCGCGUACAGAGGGAAGCAAAGCUGCAAAGUGGAGCGGACCCGAGAAAGCGCGUCGUAGUCCGGAUUGGGGUCUGCAACUCGACCCCAUGAAGUCGGAAUCGCUAGUAAUCGCGAAUCAGCAUGUCGCGGUGAAUACGUUCCCGGGCCUUGCACACACCGCCCGU